UACGUAGGGAGCAAGCGUUGUCCGGAUUUAUUGGGCGUAAAGAGCUCGUAGGCGGUUCCGUAAGUCGGGUGUGAAAAAUCUGGGCUCAACCCAGUGGAGCACUCGAUACUGCGGUGACUCGAGUCCGGUAGGGGAGUGUGGAAUUCCUGGUGUAGCGGUGAAAUGCGCAGAUAUCAGGAGGAACACCGACGGCGAAGGCAGCACUCUGGGCCGGUACUGACGUGAGGAGCGAAAGCAUGGGGAGCGAACAGG
rnacentral:rRNA from 1 species